rnacentral:rRNA from 1 species
UACGUAGGGUGCGAGCGUUGCCCGGAUUUAUUGGGCGUAAAGAGCUCGUAGGCGGUUUGUCGCGUCGAAUGUGAAAUCCCGGGGCUCAACCCCGGGUCUGCAUUCGAUACGGGCAGACUAGAGUUCGGUAGGGGAGUCUGGAAUUCCUGGUGUAGCGGUGAAAUGCGCAGAUAUCAGGAGGAACACCGGUGGCGAAGGCGGGACUCUGGGCCGAUACUGACGCUGAGGAGCGAAAGCGUGGGGAGCGAACAGG